AUUCCAGCUCCAAUAGCGUAUACUAAAGUUGUUGCAGUUAAAAAGCUCGUAGUUGAAUUUCUGGUCUUGGACGGCGGUCUACCACAAUUGUGGUACGUACCAACUGUCCGAGUCCAUCCUCGGGGAAAACAUGCCUGUGAUUCAGUUCAUGGGUAUGGGAUCCUCGUCAUUUACUGUGAGCAAAAUAGAGUGUUCAAAGCAGGCUUAUGCCGUUGAAUACAUUAGCAUGGAAUAAUAAGAUAAGACCUUGGUCUAUUUUGUUGGUUUGUACUCCAAGGUAAUGAUUAAUAGGGAUAGUUGGGGGUAUUCGUAUUCAAUUGUCAGAGGUGAAAUUCUUGGAUUUAUGGAAGACGAACUACUGCGAAAGCAUUUACCAAGGAUGUUUUCAUUA
rnacentral:rRNA from 1 species